GAUGAACGCUGGCGGCGUGCCUAAUACAUGCAAGUCGAGCGAACAGACGAGGAGCUCGCUCUACUGACGUUAGCGGCGGACGGGUGAGUAACACGUGGAUAACCUACCUAUAAGACUGGGAUAACUUCGGGAAACCGGAGCUAAUACCGGAUGAUAUAUUGAACCGCAUGGUUCAAUAGUGAUAGACGGGUUUGCUGUCACUUAUAGCUAGAUCCGUGCCGCAUUAGCUAGUUGGUACGGUAACGGCUUACCAAGGCGACGAUGCGUAGCCGACCUGAGAGGGUGAUCGGCGCCACAGGAACUGGGCGGCGGCCCAGACUCCUACGGGAGGCAGAAGUAGGGAAUCGUCGGAGAUGGGCGAAAGCCUGACGGAGCAACGCCGCGUGGGUGAUGAGGGUCUGCGGAUCGUAAAACUCUGUUAUUGGGGAAGAACACUUGUGUAAGUAACGAUGCACGUCUUGACGGUACCUAAACAGAAAGCCCCGGCUAACUACGUG
rnacentral:rRNA from 1 species